UACAGAGGUCUCAAGCGUUGUUCGGAUUCAUUGGGCGUAAAGGGUGCGUAGGUGGCGCCAUAAGUCAGGUGUGAAAUCUCGGGGCUUAACUCCGAAACUGCAUUUGAUACUGUGGUGCUUGAGGACUGGAGAGGAGACUGGAAUUCACGGUGUAGCAGUGAAAUGCGUAGAGAUCGAUGAGGAAGACCAGUGGCGAAGGCGGGUCUCUGGACGA
rnacentral:rRNA from 1 species